rnacentral:misc_RNA from 1 species
GCAGCAGCAGCAAUUGCAGCAACAGCAGCAAGAGACAGCUUCGCCUUUACAGGCUGUAGUUUCACCUCCUCCAGUGGGCUCACCUUCAAAUCUGGCAAUCCCACAACAAAUGAACCAAAAUUCCCAGCAGCCACAGCAACAACAACAGCAACAUCAACAGGCCAGCCCACAGCAGAUGAGCCAACGAACUCCACUCAGCCCACAGCUGAGUUCAGGGGCUAUCCAUCCUAUGAGUACUGGUAAUCCAGAAGCAUGCCCAGCAAGCCCUCAGUUGAGUUCACAAACCUUGGGGUCAGUAGGUAGUAUAACCAAUUCUCCAAUGGAACUACAAGGUGUGAACAAGAGUAAUUCCAUUAAUAAUGCCUAAUUGAGAUGUAAGCUUCAGCUCCUUUGAAACUGUAGGGGCAAUUGCUAUAUCAUCCCUGCCAUGUCUAUGAAUACAUCUGGUCAGGUUACUGUGAAGAUGAAACAAAAUGGUGCCUCUGGCCAGUGCUGGUUGAACGGAUGUCUUUGUAGGUUGUGGAACAUGGAUUGUCUGGUUUGAUGGAAUCCCAAAAAGGAAACCAGAGAGGGCUUUGAGACGUGCAAAUUAUACACAUGCUCUAAUAUUGAUCUGUGAUUUCUGGUAGAGCCACUAUUAUUCUAGGUUUAUUCAUAUGUUUUGGGUUAUUCUAUAUGAGACGGAUAAUUGAAAUUGUCUGAAUCUGUCGUGAUUAAUCAUACUGUUGUUCAAUAUGAUCCUUGGUAGCAGAUUGUAGUUCAUAUCAUAACCAGUGAUCUAUAAGGAUAUAACUCCAGUCUUGUAUGAAGGCAAUGUCAUAGUUGUAAUCUGUUGGUUGAUAAACGUGUAAAUGAUU